rnacentral:misc_RNA from 1 species
GUAUUUUGUUAUGAUUUUACAUUCAAGACUUCAAGUUUGGGCCGAAGCCACGGUUCACAGUGUAUUAAUGUAUAAGGUCAAAGACCGAAUUCAAUAAUGAUCCUUCCGCAGGUUCACCUACGGAAA